GUUAUCUUGAUAAAGCUUCAUACAUGUUGAGGAACUAACAAAUCGACAGAUGUCUUACUCCACAACGAGGUGCAAGAUCUUGAGGCUGGAUUUAGAAAGAGGAAGAGAAGACCAGUUGCACAGCUCAUCACCCUUCACCCAUCUGAUGAUAUGAAAGGUUUGAAGGAAGCCAGAGCUGCAGCCAGAUUUUUCUCCGAUGAGUUUUGAUGAACUACAAAGAAUGAAGAUGCUCUCCCUUGUCAUCCCCAGUCAAAGAAAAGGCACUUUAAAGAAAUCA
rnacentral:lncRNA from 1 species